rnacentral:rRNA from 1 species
AUUGAACGCUGGCGGCAUGCUUUACACAUGCAAGUCGAACGGCAGCACGGGUGCUUGCACCUGGUGGCGAGUGGCGAACGGGUGAGUAAUGCAUCGGAACGUGCCCAUGAGUGGGGGAUAGCCCGGCGAAAGCCGGAUUAAUACCGCAUACGCCCUUAGGGGGAAAGCGGGGGGAUCUUCGGACCUCGCGCUAUUGGAGCGGCCGAUGUCGGAUUAGCUAGUAGGUGAGGUAAAGGCUCACCUAGGCGACGAUCCGUAGCUGGUCUGAGAGGAUGAUCAGCCACACUGGGACUGAGGCACGGCCCAGACUCCUACGGGAGGCAGCAGUGGGGAAUUUUGGACAAUGGGCGCAAGCCUGAUCCAGCCAUGCCGCGUGAGUGACGAAGGCCUUCGGGUUGUAAAGCUCUUUCAGGUGGAAAGAAAUAGCGCUGUUUAAUAGAUGGCGUUGAUGACGGUACCACCAGAAGAAGCACCGGCUAACUACGUG